GCCAGAGUAGUGUAGUGGUUUGAAUGUCAGGUUACGAUCCUGGAGACCAGGGUUCGAUUCUCCGCUUGGUCA